rnacentral:rRNA from 1 species
CCUAACACAUGCAAGUCGAACGGUAACAGGAAGAAGCUUGCUUCUUUGCUGACGAGUGGCGGACGGGUGAGUAAUGUCUGGGAAACUGCCUGAUGGAGGGGGAUAACUACUGGAAACGGUAGCUAAUACCGCAUAACGUCGCAAGACCAAAGAGGGGGACCUUCGGGCCUCUUGCCAUCGGAUGUGCCCAGAUGGGAUUAGCUAGUAGGUGGGGUAACGGCUCACCUAGGCGACGAUCCCUAGCUGGUCUGAGAGGAUGACCAGCCACACUGGAACUGAGACACGGUCCAGACUCCUACGGGAGGCAGCAGUGGGGAAUAUUGCACAAUGGGCGCAAGCCUGAUGCAGCCAUGCCGCGUGUAUGAAGAAGGCCUUCGGGUUGUAAAUACUUUCAGCGGGGAGGAAGG